GACGAACGCUGGCGGCAUGCCUAACACAUGCAAGUCGAACGAGGUAUUUGUUUUCGGAUAGAUAUCUAGUGGCGCACGGGUGCGUAACGCGUGGGAAUCUGCCCUUUGGUUCGGAAUAACACAGAGAAAUUUGUGCUAAUACCGGAUGAUGACGAAAGUCCAAAGAUUUAUCGACGAAGGAUGAGCCCGCGUAGGAUUAGCUAGUUGGUGGGGUAAAGGCCUACCAAGGCGACGAUCCUUAGCUGGUCUGAGAGGAUGAUCAGCCACACUGGGACAGAGACACGGCCCAGACUCCUACGGGAGGAGGCAGUGGGGAAUAUUGGACGAUGGGCGCAAGCCGGAUCCAGGAAUGCCGCGUGAGUGAAGAAGGCCUUCGGGUUGUAAAGCUCUUUUACCCGGGAAGAUAAUGACUGUACCGGGAGAAUGAGCCCCGGCUAACUCCGUGCCAGCCGCCGCGGUAA
rnacentral:rRNA from 1 species